UCCACUUUUUACCUCAAAAUUAUUUGUGGCAAAAUAUCACUUUCAAUCAUGAAUUUACAUUUCGUUUUUUAAACUAUCGUAAGAAUAAUUAUCGUAUAAUAUUUGACUUUCUACUAUAACCUUUAUUUUUUAGUAGAAAAAUAUUUAUAAUAAAAAUAUAUAAGCAAAAACUUACAAAUUUCAAUUUUUGUUCAAUUUUUUUUUCUAUAAUCUAAUUUACAAUAGAAAAUUACUUGUUAUUUUAAUUAUAUAUACACCACUUUUUCAAUCAUUUACAAUAGAAAAUAUAUUUUGGUAAAAUAAAAUUUUUCAUAAUUUUAUGGUUAUCAUAUAUCCUAUUUCACAAUCAACGUGGAUGAAAAUAUAGUACAUCAUUUGUUUGUGAUUAUAAGUGGUAACUUUCACUCAAACCUCUAACUAGUUAAGAUAGUAAUUAAAGCAAAAUCUAAAUCCAGAUCUCUCGAUUGAUUGUUUCAUAGAUUGGUUUUCUCUCCAUAAAGUUUUUCCUUCCGCCCUUCUAAAUAAAUAGUUUUGUUAUGUUUAGUUGUGGUACCACCCCCUUUCCAAGUAAAUAAUUUCAAUGAAAUUUUAAAGCUGAUAACCUAUGCACAACAAUCAUUAAUGUUUCACCUACCAAGAACAAGUUGUGCUAUUAUUCACCUAAUUACAUGUAAAUUUCACAAUCAUCUCAUAAUUAUAGUGAAGAAAAAAAUCAUUUUCUUUUCUGUUAUUCUUUUUUAAUAUGUAGUUAGCUAAUGUUUUAAUCAAUGGUUCAUGAUUAAUGUGAUCUUUAUAUAAUAUGCUUCUAUUUAGGCUCGUUUUUUGUUUUAAGGUCAUUCUUAUAUUUAAACUUAAAGUCUUAAAAUAUAAUAAAAUAAAAUAAAAAAUAAAGUUCUAUUUAAACCAAAGUCAAAUUAAAUUUUAUUUAGCUUUAAGAUAAAUUAAACAAAUCUCAUUUGAGAAAUUGAGGCUCACAACAUCAAUUUCCCUUUUUACCAAUAAUUUUCUUAUUAAGAAAUGAGGUGCUUUAGAGAGUUACUAGUUUCCUUAUUCUUAAGAGAAAUUUCAUAAGAAGAACUAAUCAUAUGAUUCAUGAAGAAAUAAAUAAAAUCAAAAUCAGAUUUUGGAGAGCCUUACAUUAGUCAAUAAAGGCAUCCUCUUUCGAAUUGGACAAUGUAGGAGAUACCAACUUAGGUUUCACUAGGAAUGUAGUAGCAAAUUCCACAAAGACAAAAUUCCAAUUGAAACUCACAAAAAGAGAAUUAUUUGAAAGUUUGAAGGUGGAUGCAUCAAGAAAGAUAUAUAAUUACAAACAAAAAAAAUGAUCUCUCAUGGUUCCAAGUUGUAGUCCCUUAUGUAAAAUGAUGCAUGAAUCAAUUUCUUUCCUCAUUGGCCCCAUAGGAACUAGUCAAGUUUUGAGAGAUUGAGUAUCAGAUGUCAUUCAUUGUCAUAAUUAGAGUUGAAAAAAGAUGAUAAGAUUCGUCAUACAAUGACUAAGAAAUUUUGCUACUCCACUUGCUUUGCAUUGGUAGAAGGUCUAUCCAUAGAUGUCCAGACAUAAAUAUGACUUGAAGUAGAGAUGGUAACAUGCUACUAACAGAAUUGAUUGAUACCUAAUAAUCCGUGGAGAAAGGUGUAUAGAUAAGAUAGAACCUAUUAAACUAGCUUGGAGGUUCAUAAAUUCAUAAGUAACGGUUGUAUUAUAUACUUUUACCAAAUAUGAGUUUUUUUUUUCUUUGUUAUUUUUUUUCCUCCUUUAAAUUUCAGAUUUGAUUUUAAUAAAUUUCUGGAUUUGCUUUUGAGAUCAACUGUAGUUAUGUCAGUUCUUUGAAAAAAAAAAAUACAAAAACCUUCCAUCAUGCUUUGAAAUGAAAUUUCCACCCUAAAUCCUUAUUAAAUAACAUAUAAUUGUCUUAGGUAGAGAGCGUAAAAGACUAUUAAAUUGGUUCAAUCUAUUUAGUAGCAACAAAAUAUCAAAGCAAAACCCUAAAACAUGCAUCUUCCAACAAUUUAACAAUUUGUAGUAAUUAUCGUCUAUAAAAGGGAGUUUUUUUUUUUUUUUUUGCUAAAAUGGGAAAUAAGGGAAUUCAAGUUCAAGAGAAGUCAUUUUAAUUACUUAGGAAAUUCCUGUUUUAAUCCAAUAUUUAGUAACAAUAUCUAAAACAUGUAUUUAAUAUAAUAAAAAAAUACAUACACACAUACUUAAGACGAUUAUUUUCAGUAAUUCUAAUUCUUCACCUAUUAAAUAGGAUAACAACUUGCAAGACCUCCUCCUUUCAUAAGCAUGUGGGUAUGUCUAGUAAUUAGAUAGCUCCUCGUGCUUGACUAGCUACAGAACAUUAUAUAUAGAAAAAUCAAACAUUGUGGAUAAGUUGAUGCACCUAGUCACCCUCAUACUUCAAUGCUAACUAUAAUAGUUAAUGCUAUAGAAAAAUCAAACAUUGUGGGCAAGUUGAGUUGAUGUUCCCAUUCACCCGCAUAAUUUAAUAUUGACUAUGAUAUUCAAUGCUAUAGAAAAAUCAAACACUAGGAGAAAUUUGAUCAAAGCAUUUAACAACCAAUUAAGAACUAUAGAGUGGUGUUUUGAAUCUUAACUUCCACUAAUGAGCCCCAAUGCCCUGAAUACAACCUAGCUAAUAGAACAUUUAGCUUAAUUGAUUUUGAACUUGUGAUUCAAACUUGUAUUUUCCCAUGUUUAACCAUCAUCCAAGUGCAAGGAGAAGCAAAAGGUGGACUAGUCGAGCUACAACUUCAACCAGUUCUUCACAAAUCGGGUCCAAAUCUGGAAAAAUGAUGUUUGAUGAUCCAAUGAUGUUUAAGCAAUCUAGAGAAAGUAAGAGGGGAAAAACAUGGAUUAGUGUACUCAGGAAUUAGUUAGGCUUAUUAUGGUAACCACGUACACUUAGUUUAUAUUAAGGUGAGACACAUUUUUGCCUCUCUUUAAAAGUGAUAUUCACCACUAGCCAUGGCAUAAUUCCUCAUGCUAUAGCCCAAAUAGCUUUGCGUUGGGCCUAGAAUUGCUUCCUCAACCCAAUUGGGCUUUGAUGUUGGGUCUCAAACGUGCUGGGUUAGGCUAAAUCCGAGCCAGCCUAUGGGUCGACAUGAUACUGCAUUCCAAUUCUAGAAACGUCAUCUUAAGAAACUGAAAAUUGAGUCUGUUCAACAGGGAGGAGUAGGGCAAAUGGAGUUGAAAGGGAGAACCUAAAAGUAAGAAAGCAAGAUGUAUUGGAACAAAAUGUAGGGAGGAGUUUGCUUAAUGGUAGUAAGGCAUCAUACAUCUUUUGAUUUGUGAAGUAAAUUCUUAUUUAUUUAUUUUUUUUCCUGAAGUGAAUUCCAAAGGGAAAACUACGAAAAGUAGUUUGUUUCUAGCAAGAAAAUAAUUGCAUAGGAAAAUAGGUCAUCUUACAAAAUUGUAUUCAUACUUUAGGAGAUAAAAUAUUAUAUUACUUGCUCUGGUGAUCGCAAGUCACAAUUAACAAAAUAUCAUGUUAGCUAUGUACCCCAAGAGAAAACAAUGACGACACCAUGUGACAUGUUUAUUUAUUUGUCAAUAUUUUAGAAUAAAAAAACAAAUUAUUUAUUCUGUUAGACUAAUAUUUAUGUAUCAAUGUAGAAAAACAAAACAUUUGCUAUAUUCAAGGUUGUUGAUUACAUAAAAUAAUCACUAUACUCAUGCUGGACAUAUUUCUUAUAUUUAAUUAUAAUGUCAGUCCUAGUGGCAUCAACUUAAAAAUGAAUAAAUAAAUAAAUUCAUGAGAAAGAAGCAUGCUAGAAAAUAAAAUUAUAUCCAUAUUUAAGAAAAUAAAAUAUCAUGUCUUUGCCUUAGGAAAAGAACACUACCAUGGUGGAAAAGUGGGAGGCAUUGCAACGGCUUAAUCAUCCUGCUUUUACUCGAUUGAUUAGAGAUUUCAAUAUACUUGAUUGACUAGAGAUCUCAGUAUUGGAGAACAAACCCCAAACCCUAAAUUACAUUAGCUGACUUUUGUCUUGGAAUCAAAAGAGUGGCAUCGCUAUAGAGGAAAUGACAAAAAAUAAAAAUUUACACCUUCAAAAUAAUCCAUGGAAAGUGUUAAUGCAUUGACCUAGAUAGAUUAAGUUGGUAUUUUUAUUUCGUUCAUCUUGAUUUAGAACUCUAUAUAUUUUCUUGUGACUUACACCACUUGGAAGACUCAAGAUUGUUGCGGAAUCAGCCUUGGGAAUAUAGGUAUUGGCUUUUAAAAAAUGAAAAAAAAAAAAAAAAAGGACUCUAGGGAAUUGAAAACUAGGUGUUUGAUUUAAUUAUGAGACAGGAUUUUAAGAUCACGCACUCAAGUGUUAUGAUCAACUAAAAAGGCACCUGAAGUGUUGCACUCAAGCUCCAGAACAGCUUAAGCAUGCUUAAAAAGAGAGGACUUUGUGGAAAUCUAAACUUUACAGAUUAUAUUGAUGAAGCUCCAGAAUGAUAUAUAUGGCUGAUAUAUAUAUAAACCAGCGAGAAAAUGUGAAAUUCAGAUGAAAAAAUCAAAUGGGUGUGAAGGGAGUAAAGAGAUUAGGGGCACAGAGGCCUCUGCCAUAGGCCCAUAGCUGCGAGUGAUGGGGUCCGAGCUCAGAAUUGAGUAUUAAUUGGCUAGACUGAGGUGACCCCCUUUAAAUAGACCAAACUUUUUGAGUUUUACAAGUCAACCCAAUGAAAUGUGGAAACGUGGCAUGAGUGAGCUCAGGUUGGUUUAUCAUCAAGUUUGUCGUUAGGUCGCAUGGCCCACAAUUGCUGACCGUUUUGUCUGCAUGAGCUGGAUUUGUCGACCCCUCUGCCUUCUCAGGCUGGUGAGAUACAAUUAUGAUAAUUCACCCCCGGGAUGGGAAUAGUACACGCGUCCCAAGUACACUAUAUGCGAUCAUCUUUCUUGUGCAGUGUGAUCAUCUUUCUUGUGCAAAUGACCCGGUGGACUUCAAACUUAAAUAAAAUCGAAAUAUUAAUAUAUAUAUAUAUAUAUAUAGACAUAAGUAAUUAUCGAUAUUUUUAUUUUUUAUUUUAAUAAGUUAUUAAAAUAUCGUGAAUGCUCGCUAAUAUCACAAGCACCACUAGAGCAAAUUUACUCUUAAUUUGUUAAAUAACAUGCAUCAAACAUUAAAAAAAAUUAUUUAAUUAAUUAGAAAAAAUAUAAAAGUGAUCACUAUAAUAUUCUUUAUAAUGUUUUUAAUAUAUUAAUUAAAUAUUAAAAAAUUAUACAUUAAUCAUAAUUUAUUUUUUAUUAUAUCAUAAUUUAAUAUUGUUGGCAUUGUUUGUAUCAUCUUUGUGGUUAGGUGUCUCUCAUUAUAAGAGUAGUUUUGAAUUUUCUAGUAAAAGCCCUAUUCUCUUUAUGCUUACUUCAUUCCUUUGAAUGUUUUAAAUGAAGAAAAAAAAUAGGAAGAGAAGAUUGUAUUGUGUUAAUGAAAGAUAAGGUGAACUUAAGAGCUUGUUUUCAAACUAGUUGUUGUGGAGACACCAAAAAACUUGUUUCAAAUAAGUUGUUUUUAAAAAUAAUUUUUUUGUUUUAAUUUUAUAAAAAAAAUAUAAAUUCAAUUUAUAUAAUAAUAAUAAAAUUUAAUUCAAAUCUUAUUAAAAAUGAAAAUAAUUUUUUAAUUACAAAUAAAUAAAAAAAUAAAUAGUUUUUAGUAGAACAUAAAUAGUAAUAUUAUAAUAAAAUCAUAGGUUAUAUAUUUUUAUUAAAAAAUACAUUAUUUCAAUAUAUGUUAGAAGCAUAACGAAAUUAAUAUGUUUAUAAAUAUUAAAAAACAAAAUCCUUGUUUGGAUAAAUUGUUUUUCGAAAUAAUUUUUUGUUUUGAUUUUAUAAAAACAUUGUAAAUUUAAUUUGUAUAAUGUUAAUUAAAUUUAAUUCAAAUCUUAUUAAAAAUAAAAAUAGUUUUGUAAUUACAAAUAAAUUUAAAAUAAAUAGCUUUUAGUAAAACAUAAAUAGUAAUAUUAUGAUAAAAUCAUAAGUUAUAUUUUGUUUAUUAAGAAAUACACUAUUUUAAUUUAUGUUAGAAAUAUAAGGAUAUUAACAUCUUUGUAAAAUUUUUUAUUAUUAAAAAAAAUAAACAUAAUUUUAAAAUAAUUAUCAUUAAUAAUAUUUCAUUUAAAAUGAAUAACAAAUAAAGUUUAAUUUUUUUUAACAUGUAAAUAAACUAAGUUUUCUUAUUAUACGUACACAUUUAAUACUCAAUUAUGAAUAUAAUAUGCUAUAAGGUUUUGAUUGAAUGUGCAAUUAAUUGGUUUGGUUUUUAAAUUUCAAGUUAUUCUUAAAAAUCAAAAGAUUCAUUAAAAUAUUUAAAUUAUUAAUUAUAUUUUACUUAAUUUAUAAUCUAUUUACUUAGUGAGAAAAAAAAAUAUAUAAUCGAUUUGUAUAGGAGAAAUAAUAAAGUUAUAACUCAUAAUAUAUCACUUAUAAAGUUCAUUUUUCUAAUAGAAAAUUGGAAAAAAAAAAUUAUAAAAAUAUAAUUAUAUGCAGAAAAUAAUCAAUAAAGUAAUUAUGAAACAAUUUUAAUCCAUAAAUUUUUAGAAUUAAUGAAUUUAUUAUUUGAGUUUUAAAUUAUUUUUAAAAAAUAUUAGAUUUAUCCAUGAUUCCAACACAUUAAAUUUUAUUUAAAUUAAAGUUUAUCAUCAAAGUUCAACGUAUCCUAAGAUUAACUAAAGCAACAACCCUACUUCACCACUUUACCACAUGAGCUAAGAUGAAAAAGCAUGUCUCAAAUACUUCACGUUAGGGAGAAGUGAGAACAAAGAAAAAAGGAAAAAAAAGAUAAAAAGACUUGGAGAUAAUCUUUAAAAUAUAGCAUGCUAGAAUCUAGCAAUGGCUGAUAUAUUCCUCAUCUUAUGGCAAAUAUAGACCCAUAUUGAGCUCUCCCUUUAGGUCCUAGCCAUUUAAUCUUAGUUUAGGGGUAGCCCAGAUAGGUUUGUGUUGACCCUAAAGUUGCCUCCUAGGCCAAAUUGGGCUUUGAUAAUGCUAGGCCUCAAACGUGCUGGGCUAGCCCAAAUCCAAGCUAGCUAGCCCUGCCCUGCCCUGCCAACUAGCCCAUGGGUCUGCUGGGCCUUGAAGGACCAAAUACUGCAUAUUAAUUCUAGAGACCCCGUCUUUAAAAACUGAAAAUCUGGUCUGCAAAUGGAGUCCUUUCAGGAAAGGCAGAACCUAAAAGUAAGAAAGCAAGAAGCAAUUAAACAAUUGUUAUUGUUUCUUUUUUUUGUUGUUGGGGGGGCUGUUUGGACAAAAUUUCUAUUGUUGGAAUUCUUAUGCUUUAGUUACAAGUCAUGGUUUAUUUUCUAUCAUGACCACAUAGUAUAUACGACGAAUUUUUAAGAAAAACAUUAUUUCAUGUGCUUUAAGAAGAAUCACAUGUACGACCAAAUAGUAUAUAAAAAUCACUACAAUAUUAAAAUAUUUUCUGGUGGCUAUGCAUUCAAUAUUACAAUAUUAAGUUGGUAAUUGUUAGAUGCUAGAUUGCCUGUGGAAUAUGCCAUGGAUUAGAAAUAGUUAGAAAAUAGUCAUCAAAUAAAUUGAGUUUCAAUAAUAAUUUAUGUUACUAUUAGAUGCUAAAUGAGUUCAUAAACAAUAUUCCAGGCUAUUUCAUUGAGUUCCAAAAUGCCUUCUGGGGGACAAGCCCAAAAACUAGUCCAUGAUCCUAACUCGGCCUAAGUUUGUGUAUGGAUAUGGACCGGCCUAAGUUGUGGCUUACCACUAGGCUUGACCCAUGAGCCUAUUGUUGGGGUUGAUCCUUUGAGAGGCAUUUUGGAAUCAAAUGAAAUAGCCUAGUUGUGUAUGGGUUGAUCACUAGGACUACCCCAAGAGCCUAUUGUUGGGCUUGCUCCUCUAGAAGGCAUUUUGGAACUAAAUGAAAUUAGCCAAGAGUUGAUAAACUCGUUUAUAAGCCUUUUAUGUUAAUGUUCUGGCUGAAAUGGAGUAAUGUUUAAAACAACAUCACAUUAUUAAAUUUUCCAUCUUCACAACUCAAAUCAUACAAAUAAUUAAAUAAAUUACUUUUAUGAAGAGAUGACCUACUCUACUGAUUUUAUUUGAUUAUUGUCUUUUUAUCUCUGACCCUCGGCCGAUUGCAUAGGCUAGCACCUAAACCAAAACAUGAUUUUCUAGUGAAAGCCUUUCAAGUGAUAGUUUAAGAGUUCAAGCCACCUUAUAGUAUAUGUCUAUCAUUAUUAUUCAUUUUUAGUGUAAAAUUGAAGGAGUAAAUAGAAAUUCCAUCAAAAUUCUUAGCCGAUCCCUUUCAAGCAUCAUAGUCCUUCAGUAAUUCCAAUAAGACUAGCUAUGUUGACAUUGACUAUUAUAUUGUCAUCAAUCAUAUAGUCCAUUAUGCAUGUGCCAAUUUCAAACAAUAGCCUACCAAUGAAUUUUCUUAGUAAUAAAUGGACAUUUUUCCUCACCUUGGAAGACUUUAACACCUUUGAAGUAAGACAUGUGAUAGAAGAAGAAUCUAUGAACUUUUCAACUAUAGGUUUUUGUGGAAAAGUGGGUAAUAUACUUUAAGAAAAUGACAAAUAAUCUUUUUUGUUUUGUCUAGCUUGACUAACCAGAUAAGAUAUUGAUUAAUCUUUAUUGUCAAGGUGCCUUGGCAGCUCAUUCAAGUAACCAAGAAAAUUCAAUCCUUAAAAUUACUUAGUUUGUACUAUCAUUGCAAGUAAAUGCCAAAUGUUAUUUAUCAUCUUCUUAUGAAUGUUAAACAAGAAAAUUAUGAAAUUACUUAAACUAAGGUCAAAUUUAAUUGAUGGUCUAGACUAGGAUAAAAUAUUAAUGAAAUAUGAUGAUAAGUAUAUAUAUAUAUAUACUUAAACAAAAACAUGCUUGUCUAGUGAAUGCCUUUCAAAUGAUAGUUUAAGAGUUCAAGGCACCUUAUAAUAUAUGUCUAUCAUUAGUAUUCAUUUUUAGUGUAAAAUUGAUGGAGUAAAUAGAAAUUCCCUCAAAAUUCUUACUUGGUUCCUUUCAAGAAUCAUAGUCCUUCAAUAAUUUCAAUGAGACUAGCUAUGUUGACAUUGACUAUUAUAUUGUCAUCAAUCCUACAGUCCAUUAUACAUGUGUCAAUUUCAAACAAUAGCCUACCAAUGAAUUUUCUUAGCAAUAAAUGGACAUUUUUCCUCACCUUGGAAGACUUUAACACCUUUGUGGUAAGACAUGUGAUAGAAGAAGAAUCUAUGAACUUUUCAACAAUAAGUUUUUGUGGAAAAGUGGGUAAUAUACUUCAAGAAGGCGACAAAUAAUCUUUUUUGUUUUGUCUUGCUUGAAUAACCAAAUAAAAUAUUGAUUGAUCUUUAUCAUGAAGGUGCCUUGGCAACUCCUUCAAGUAGCUAGGAAAGUUUGGUCUUUAAAAUUGCUUAGUUUGUACUAUCAUUGCAAGAAAAAGGUAAAUGUUAUUUAUCAUCUUCUUAUAAAUAUUAAACAUAUGCAAAUUAUGAAAUUACGUAAAAUAAGGUCAUAUUUAAUUGAUGGUCUAGACUAGGAUAAAAUACCAAUGAAAUCUAUGUGUGUGUAAUAUUUUAAUUUAUAUUAUGAUAUGAAUAUACUUUUUUUUUUUUUGAAACCAAAAUUUUAUCUUUUAAAAUUAGAUUUUCUUUUUUUUGUUAUUCAAAGUGAUUAACAUGAAAAUUUUUGAAAAUAAAUAUUUUAGAGAUCCAAUGAAUAUGAGAAAUAAAUUUACUAUCCAAAAUAUAAGUAUAUUCCAUUUUUCUUCAAGAGAUUGUUAAAUUCAAUAAUAUCAUAAAUCAUAGCCCUCCAAUAAGACUUUGACUACUAUAUUAUCAUAAAUCAUAUAUCAUAUGGUCCAUUAUACAUGUGUCGUCUUCAAACAAUGGCCUAUCGAGUGAAUUUUCUUAGCAAUAAAUGGAUGUCUUUGCCUUGGAAGACUUUGAUUCUUUGCAAUAAGAUAUGUGACAAAGGAAGAAUCUAUGAAAUUUUCAAAUAUGGAUUUUUGUGUAAAAGUGGGUGAUAUAUUUCAAGAAGGCGACAAAUAAUCUUUUUGGUUUUGUCUUACUUGACUAACCAAAUAAGAUAUUGAUUGAUCCUUACUAUGAAGGUGCCUUGCCAACUUCCUCAAGUAGUCAAAAAAAGCCAAAUAUUAUGUAUCAUCAUCUUAUGAAUGUUAAACAAAUGGAAAGGGAUAAAAUUAUAUAAUUUAAGGUCAUAUUUAAUAGAGAGUUUUGACUAGGAUAAAAUAUUAAUUUGUUUUUUAUAUAUAAAUAUAUAUAAUUUUAAUUUGUAUUAUAAUAUAAAUAUGCUCUUAUUUUUUGCUUUUUGGAAUAAAAAUUUUAUUUUUUUAAAAUUAGAUUUUUAUUUUAUUUUAUUUUAUUUUGUUCAAAGUGAUUAAAAUGAAAAAAAAAUUUCGAAAUGAAUAUUUAAGAAAUCCAAUGAAUAUGAGAAAUAAAUCUAUUGUCUAAAAGACAUGUAUAUUCCAUGUUUUUCAUGAGAUUAUUAAAUCUCAUAUAAAGGGAUAUGAUAAAUAAAAUGAAUAAUCAUUUAUCUUGUCUAUUUUUCAACCAAACAUAAAAUAAAGUUGAUAUGAUCUUAAGAGCAUAGCAUGUAUCUUAGAUAAAAUAAACAAAAAUAAAAUAAAAAAUAAAAAGGUUAUUAUGAUUUGCAAAUAAAACUAAAAUAUAAAUCAAUUAUUUUGAAGAAUAUGAAUGUCAAUUACUACAUCAACAACCCUUGCAUGUGGAUCAAAAUUCUUAGUUGGUCCCUUUCAAGCACCACAUUCCUUCAAUAAUUCUAAUAAAUCAUACAAUGCAUUAUGCAUGUGUCAAUUUCAAACAAUGGCCUACCAAUGAAUUUUCUUAGCAAUAAAUGGACAGCAUCAUAUUCCUUCAACAAUUCUAACAAGACUGGUUUUGUUAACAUUGACCACUAUAUUGUCCUAAAUCAUAUGGUCCAUUAUACAUGUCUCAAUUUCAAAAAAUACUAAUGGAUUUUCUUAGCAAUAAAUGGAUCUAUGAACCUUGACUUGGAAGACUUUAACUCCUUUGCAUUAAGAAAUAUGACAGAGGGAAUGAUCUAUGAACUUUUCAAAUAUGGAUUUUAGUGGAAAAGUGGGUGGUAUAUUUCAAGAAGGUGAUAAAUAUUUUUUUUUGGUUUUGUCUUGCUUGACUAACCAAAUAAGAUAUUAAUUAAUCUUGAUUGCAAAGGUUGCUCGGCAGAUUCUUUAAGUAGCUAGGAAAAUUCAAUAUUUAAAUUUGCUUGGUUUGCACUAUCAUUGUCAAAAAACACAAAAUGUUAUCUAUAAUCUUCUUAUGAAUGUUAAACACAUGUAAAUGUAAAUGAUGAAAUUAUGUAAAUUAAGGUCAUAUUUAAUUUAUGGUCUAGACUAGGACAAAAUAUUAAUGAAAUAUGACAAUUACUUUUUAUAUAUAUUUUUAUUAAAUUUUGAAUAGUAAUUAUGAUAACAUUUUAUAAUAAUAAAAAAAAAUAAAAAAAAAUUUAUGUAUCUCUCUAAAAACUAUAUAUAUAUAUAUAUAUAUAUAUAUAUAUAUAUAUAUAUUAUAAUUUGAUAUUUUAAAAAAUAUUAUUAUACAAGAUCAUAUAGUAAAUAUUAUAAAAAUAUUAGGUCAAGUUUGAAUUAGUUUCAAAUUAUCCAAAUCUUCGUCAAAUUUUAGCUGAAAUUGAGUUCAAAUUAAAAAAAUUUAAUCAAAAUUCAACUUAAAUGUUAAAAACAAUUGUGCCAACUCACUCAAAGAUAGGUUGGAUUCAGAUUGGAUUAGCAGAUUAAGUGAACCCAUCCACAUUGCACGCCUCUACUGUUUCUUCAUGUUCCCCACACGAUUUCCUAUAAUUUUUUAUUUCAACUAGUAAAAAUCAAAACGUUGAUACUUUUGGUUCCAACAAAUGUCUUAUUCUAUGAAGUCUUGAACAAGUUAUUAUUCAAUUAAAACAUGAAGUAUUUGCCUAGAAACUUGUUAUUCCAUAAAAAGUAUAAGUCGUGCAAGUUGAUUAAGGCUAGGAUUGAAAUUACUAAAAAUAUUUUUUGGUGAAAUAAAUUUUGUUAGGAUUUUAUUGUUAUCCUAUAUCCUACUUCAAAUCAAUCUAGAUGAAAUUAUAUUACCUGAUGAGAGUAUGAUCCUUCAUUGAAACUCCCUAACAGGUUAAGACAAUUGUUAAAGCAAAUCUAAACCCAAACCUCUUGAUCCGUUGGUUUUCUAUAUUGAUUUUCUCUCCAUAAAAUUUUCCCUUCUUCCCUUUGUUUUGUUUAGUCAUGGUGUUGCCCCCUUUGUAAACAAAUGGUUUCAAUGAAAUCUUAAAACUAAUAACCCAUGUACAAGAAUCAUUAAUGUUUUACUUGCUAAGAACAAGUUAGGCUAAUAUUCACUUGUUUACAAGUCAAUUUCAUAAUCAUUUCAUAAUUAGAGUGAAAAAAAUAUUUUUCUUGUCUAUUAUUAUUUAUGAAUGUGUAGUUAGCAAAUGUUGUAAUGAAUGGUUCAUGAUGAAUGGGAUUUUUGUACAAUAAACUAUUUUUUAGGCUCACUUUUGAAUUAAGGCCAUGCUUAUCUUUUAACAUAAGUCUUAAAAUGUAAUAAAAUAUUUAAUAAAAUUACGUUCUAUUUAGGCUUAAGUCAAAUUAUAAUUUAUUUAGUUUUAAAAUAAAUUAAACAAAUCUCAUUCAAAAAUUUAACGCUUACAACAUCAAUUUUCCUUUUUUUUUUUCCACUAAUUUUCCUAUUCCGUAAUGAGAUGCUCUAAAGAGCUUAUUGUUUUCUUAUUAUUAAGAGAAAAAUCAUUAAAAAAAAAAACUAAUCAUACAAUUUAUGAGGAAAUUAAUAAAAAUUAAAAUUAGAAUUUGGACAACCUUACAUUAAUUAACUAAAGGCAUCCUUUUCCAAAUUGGGAAGUGCAAGGAAUACCAAGAUUGGUUCACUAUUAAAAGCAAAUUCCAUGAAGGUAACUAGAAUGCUAAUUGAAACUCACAAAAAUAGAAUAAUUUAAAGUCAUUUUAUCUAAAUUACUCUAAAGGUAGGCAUGUAGAGAAAGAUAUACAAUUACAAACAAAAAAGUGAUCUCUCAUGAGUCCAAGUUGCAAUCCCUUGCCUAAAAAAUGAUACAUGCAUCAAUUUGUUUCCUCAUGGGGCCCUUAGGGACAUAGGAGACUAAAUUAGUCAAGUUUGAGAGGCUAAAUGCCAAUUGACAGUCAUUGUCAUAAUCAGUAUCCAAAAAAUAUGAUAAGAUUCAUAACACAAUGACUGAGAUAUUCCAUGGAGAUGACAACAUGUUGCUAAAAGAGUUGAUUGGUACCUAAUAUUCCAUGGAAAAAGUUGUAUAAAUAAGAUAGAACCCAUUAAACUAGCUUGGAGGUUUAGAAAUUCAUAAAAAUUAGUUAUAUUAUGAACUAGCUUGGUGGCUUUAAUGUCAAUCAAGCAAGACAAAACCAAAAAUUCUAUUAAUUUAUCCUCUUCCUAAAAUUCAUAAUUGAGAGGUUCAUGGGUUCUUCCUUUUAUCUUAUCCAGCUCAUUGGAUAUUCCAGGAAGGCAAAGGAAUCAAGUCCCUCCAAGUGCAAGGACAAAUCUCCAUUUAGUACCAAGAAAAUGAACUCGAUGAGUACCCCUAUAUACAAUGGGCCACACAAAUUGAAAAUAGACCCCAUAUACAAUAGACCACACAAAGAAUAAAUCAUAGUGAUAUAAUGGUCCCACAUAUAUAAUGGACUAUAUAGUUGUAUGAACCACACAAAUUGAAAAUAGACCCUAUAUAUAAUGGACCACAUAAAGAAAGAAACAUAGUGAGAAAUUGGUCGCAUACAUACAAUGGACUAUAUGGUCCACGACCAUUAGUGAGAAAUAGUCGAUUAUAAAAAUUCAUAGACUUCUUGAAAUGACGAUGCUUAUGGGGAUGAUUUAAAAAUUUUAAAGUCUUUUUUUUUAAAAAAAAAAUAGACACAUAGCAAUAGGGUUCACAUGAUUCAACAAUGUAGUUAUAUCCAUCGUUGAGUUAGGAAAUUUUUUAAUAACAAACCCCAACCCCCAAAGAACUAACCUAAGUGGUUUUCGAUAAGGAAAGAUGUACUUUCAACUAACACACUGAAGGUUUGUUUGCAAAUAUUUUUAAAAUUAGUUUUUAUUUUUUAAAACAAAAAUAAUUUUCCAACCUCAAAAAUACAUCUAACAGAUUUUAGAAUAAAAAUAUCAUGAAAACAGAGUGAUUGGUGUUUUUUUUUUUCAUUUUGCAUGGUAAAUUACAUUCACCUAUAACUAAUAAAGAAAACCAUUUUUUAGAAUUUCAAAUAGAAUUUUAUUCCUAAAAAUGAUAUAAAAUUGUUUUUUACAAAUUGUUCUCAAACACUUAUUUUUUAAAAUUAUUUUUGAAAAUAUUAUCCACCAUGCCUCAAAUUUUCUUACGAGAGCCUAACCUUGCAAUUUCUUAGAUCUAAUUUGCAAGAUGCAAAAGAAUGUUGCGAGAUCUUUGCAAGUAACAAGGCAACAAAUCACAUGAGAACAAGUCCUCCUAGCUACCUUAAUAGUACUGAAGCUUCUCCCAAGAAAGCAAGACAUAAUGACUAACGUUAUUUUCUUGAGGCUAGUUUUUUAAUAAGCUCCCUUAUAGUUGCUUACCUAACCUCAAAGCCUACUCUCUUUGGAGAACAAGAGUAUUCCACGUUUUUUAUUUUUUGAGAUCCAUCUGCAAACUUUACUGGAAGAUCUCAAUUAGUGCAAGGAAAGAAACAAUUAAUAAAGGUGGGGCCUCAAAAGCAACCUAUUUUAUUAAACUAUAGCAAUAAAUAACGAGAUUACAUUAUCACCAUUUAUUACAACAUGAUUAUUACCCAAAUUAAACACUCAUAAUAGACAACUUCUUAUUCUAUUUCUGAUAUGACUGUCAACUCUAAUUGGAUAGAUGUUUUGCGUCUUCUAACACUUGUCCUUGUUUGUCCCAUAGAGGUAAAAGGAUUAGGAGGCAUAACUAAAUUGCCUUCUUCUCCUUCCAACAUUCCAACCACAAUUUUCAUGGAAGGACGAUCUAUUGGAUACCAUUGGAUACACCAAAGCCCUAUGAUGCUUAGUUUCUUUGCUAUUUUAAUAUCACUUUC
rnacentral:lncRNA from 1 species